rnacentral:rRNA from 1 species
GUCGAGAAUCUUUCACAAUGGGGGCAACCCUGAUGGAGCGACGCCGCGUGGAGGAUAAGGUCUUCGGAUUGUAAACUCCUGUCAUGCGUGAACAAGGUUGCUUGGUUAAUACCUGGGCAAAUUGAUGGUAACGCAAGAGGAAGAGACGGCUAACUCUGUGCCAGCAGCCGCGGUAAUACAGAGGUCUCAAGCGUUGUUCGGAAUCACUGGGCGUAAAGGGUGCGUAGGUGGCGUGGUAAGACAGAUGUGAAAGCCAGGGGCUCAACCUCGGAACUGCAUCCGAUACUGCCAUGCUAGAGUACUGGAGAGGUGACUAGAAUUCUCGGUGUAGCAGUGAAAUGCGUAGAUAUCGAGAGGAAUACCAAAGGCGUAGGCAGGUCACUGGACAGUUACUGACACUGAGGCACGAAGGCCAGGGGAGCGAACGGGAUUAGAAACCCGUGUAGUCC